CGGAGCGUAGUUAGUAGCUCCGGUAUCGCGCCAGUUUUGGGAACUGGAGGUCGCUGGUUCGAAUCCAGCCGUUCCGA
rnacentral:tRNA from 1 species